GCGCACCAAGCGCGAAACCUCCGCAAUGCGGGAAACCGCGACGAGGGGACUCCCAGUGCCCACGCUCAGCGUAGGCUGUUCCCGAGCCUAGAAAGCUCGGGGAGUAAGGGCUGGGUAAGACGGGUGCCAGCCGCCGCGGUAAUACCCGCAGCCCGAGUGGUGGCCACUAUUAUUGAGCCUAAAGCGUCCGUAGCCGGCCCGGUAAAUGCCUGGGUAAAUCGUGAGGCCUAACCUCACGAAUUCCGGGUAGACUGCCGGGCUAGGGACCGGAGGAGGGAGAGGGGUACUCCAGGGGUAGGGGUGAAAUCCUGUAAUCCCUGGAGGACCACCGGUGGCGAAGGCGCUCUCCUAGGACGGGUCCGACGGUGAGGGACGAAAGCCAGGGGAGCGAACCGGAUUAGAUACCCGUGUAGU
rnacentral:rRNA from 1 species